GGGGAAUAUUGGACAAUGGGCGCAAGCCUGAUCCAGCCAUGCCGCGUGGGUGAAGAAGGCCUUCGGGUUGUAAAGCCCUUUUGUUGGGAAAGAAAAGCAGCCGGCCAAUACCCGGUUGUUCUGACGGUACCCAAAGAAGUAGCACCGGCUAACUUCGUGCCAGCAGCCGCGGUAAUACGAAGGGUGCAAGCGUUAAUCGGAAUUACUGGGCGUAAAGCGCGCGUAGGUGGUUCGUUAAGUUGGAUGUGAAAGCCCCGGGCUCAACCUGGGAACUGCAUCCAAAACCGGCGAGCUAGAGUAUGGCAGAGGGCGGUGGAAUUUCCUGUGUAGAGGUGAAAUGCGUAGAUAUAGGAAGGAACACCAGUGGCGAAGGCGACCACCUGGACUGAUACUGACACUGAUGUGCGAAAGCGUGGGGAGCAAACA
rnacentral:rRNA from 1 species